GUCUGUGGCCAUGCCACCCUGAACACGCCCGGUCUCAUCCGACCUCAGAAGCUAAGCAGGGUCGGGCCUGGUUAGUACUUGGAUGGGAGACCACCUAGGAAGACCGGGUGCUGUAGGCG
rnacentral:rRNA from 1 species